GGAAAGGCGCGCGAUACAGGGUGACAGCCCCGUACACAAAAAUGCACAUGCUGUGAGCUCGAUGAGUAGGGCGGGACACGUGGUAUCCUGUCUGAAUAUGGGGGGACCAUCCUCCAAGGCUAAAUACUCCUGACUGACCGAUAGUGAACCAGUACCGUGAGGGAAAGGCGAAAAGAACCCCGGCGAGGGGAGUGAAAAAGAACCUGAAACCGUGUACGUACAAGCAGUGGGAGCACGCUUAGGCGUGUGACUGCGUACCUUUUGUAUAAUGGGUCAGCGACUUAUAUUCUGUAGCAAGGUUAACCGAAUAGGGGAGCCGAAGGGAAACCGAGUCUUAACUGGGCGUUAAGUUGCAGGGUAUAGACCCGAAACCCGGUGAUCUAGCCAUGGGCAGGUUGAAGGUUGGGUAACACUAACUGGAGGACCGAACCGACUAAUGUUGAAAAAUUAGCGGAUGACUUGUGGCUGGGGGUGAAAGGCCAAUCAAACCGGGAGAUAGCUGGUUCUCCCCGAAAGCUAUUUAGGUAGCGCCUCGUGAAUUCAUCUCCGGGGGUAGAGCACUGUUUCGGCAAGGGGGUCAUCCCGACUUACCAACCCGAUGCAAACUGCGAAUACCGGAGAAUGUUAUCACGGGAGACACACGGCGGGUGCUAACGUCCGUCGUGAAGAGGGAAACAACCCAGACCGCCAGCUAAGGUCCCAAAGUCAUGGUUAAGUGGGAAACGAUGUGGGAAGGCCCAGACAGCCAGGAUGUUGGCUUAGAAGCAGCCAUCAUUUAAAGAAAGCGUAAUAGCUCACUGGUCGAGUCGGCCUGCGCGGAAGAU
rnacentral:rRNA from 1 species